AACGAACGCUGGCGGCAUGCCUAACACAUGCCAGUCGAACGAGACCUUCGGGUCUAGUUGCGCACGGGUGCGUAACGCGUGGGAACCUGCCCUUAGGUUCGGAAUAACUCCCCGAAAGGGGUGCUAAUACCGGAUAAUGUCUUCGGACCAAAGAUUUAUCGCCUUUGGAUGGGCCCGCGUUGGAUUAGCGAGUUGGUAGGGUAAAAGCCUACCAAGGCGACGAUCCAUAGCUGGUCUGAGAGGAUGAUCAGCCACACUGGGACUGAGACACGGCCCAGACUCCUACGGGAGGCAGCAGUGGGGAAUAUUGGACAAUGGGCGAAAGCCUGAUCCAGCAAUGCCGCGUGAGUGAUGAAGGCCUUAGGGUUGUAAAGCUCUUUUACCCGGGAUGAUAAUGACAGUACCGGGAGAAUAAGCGCCGGCUAACUCCGUG
rnacentral:rRNA from 1 species